UAGCUCCUACGGGGCGCAGCAGUGGGGAAUAUUGGGCAAUGGGCGCAAGCCUGACCCAGCAACGCCGCGUGAAGGAAGAAGGCUUUCGGGUUGUAAACUUCUUUUGUCAGGGACGAAGCAAGUGACGGUACCUGACGAAUAAGCCACGGCUAACUACGUGCCAGCAGCCGCGGUAAUACGUAGGGGGCAAGCGUUAUCCGGAUUUACUGGGUGUAAAGGGGGCGCAGACGGCAAUGCAAGCCAGGAGUGAAAGCCCGGGGCCCAACCCCGGGACUGCUCUUGGAACUGCGUGGCUAGAGGGCAGG
rnacentral:rRNA from 1 species